UACGUAGGGGGCGAGCGUUGUCCGGAAUUAUUGGGCGUAAAGGGCGCGUAGGCGGGAUGGCAAGUCGGAUGUGAAAGCCCAGGGCUCAACCCUGGAAGUGCACUCGAUACUGCUCGGCUAGAGUCCCGGAGAGGAUGGUGGAACUCUCGGUGUAGAGGUGAAAUGCGUAGAUAUCUGGAGGAACACCGAUGGCGAAGGCAAUCCCCUGGACCUGUACUGACGCUCAUGCACGAAAGCGUGGGGAGCAAACAGG
rnacentral:rRNA from 1 species